rnacentral:tRNA from 1 species
AUUUUUAUAGUGUAUAAAACACUUAACAUUUUCAUUGUUAAAAAGCAACAUGCUAAAAAUA